rnacentral:SRP_RNA from 1 species
CAUGAUUAUUUCAAACAAUAUUAUUUUACAAAAUCAGUCAGGUCUGGAAAGAAGCAGCUGUAGUAAAUGUAAUAUGUGUGAAAAAUAGUCAUGUUU